AAAUCUGAACUAUAUUUUUGGAAGGGCUGGCUUUACACCAAACCAAUGGAUUAUCUUUGAUUCAUAAAAUUCCAUACAGCAGGGGUAAUUUUUUUUCUUGUACCGUAGCAGCAAAUGACUAAUUUCCCAGGUUAAGACAGGCAUAAAAGAAGAUACCCGACCAUCAGGGCAGAAAAACAUUCCAGAGUAUCCAAGACCUACAAUCCCCAAACUCUGGUCCUCCAAACACAAUUAGCAUUGUCAAAUUUGGGCUCAUUAUAAUGUUCCAAUAUUAUCACUUGAAUUGUCAAGUUUAACACAGUUGACUUGGGUAGUUGGAAUGGAUUGUUUUAGCAGUGCCAUAGUCUCCUUAAUGCAUAGGGAAGAUUCUUUGGUGUCAAUGAUCUAGUUAAAUGCAAAUUGAUGGAGACAAGGCAAGUUUUAUUAUGCCCACUAAGACUCUAUAUAGGCAAAACAAAAACUAGAAUAUCCCAGCGGUACCGCACAGGAUCACCUUUUUCAUCGUCUUAUAGUUUAUAGCAUUCACGCCAAGUGCUGAUUUUGGCACACGGUCGGAUCCACUUGUUCAGAUAUUACAAAUACAGCAGAGCAUUGGUCAAAAACACUUCCAAAUCUUUCUCUUUUCAUCCAUGCCAUGUGAUUUUUUUUCAGUGAAAGGACGAGUUAGUUAGUGUAAAUGGCCUAAAGGAGGUAUUAUCCACUCAAGCUUCCAAGGUUGGCUGCAACUUAUUUCAAUCAAUUUGAAAAUUGUUAAUUCUUAUAUAUGUGGCCUUUGAUUGAACAAACAAUACAGUAUCUUGCUUUGAAGAUUAUAGAAAUAGUUAAUUUGAAAAAGAAAUCCACCAAAUACUGUAAACUUAUGUAGGCUGCACACUUACCAUUAGGUCUGUUCGUGUCUGAAUUUUCUGGGCUACUACAAACAUUUUCUUCUCUCUCUCAAUGUGUUGUUUCAGUAGGGAGUACU